rnacentral:rRNA from 1 species
GCAGUCGAGCGGUAAACAGAAGCUUGCUUCUCUUGAAGCGGGGGACGGGUGAGUGUGCCUAGGAAUCUGCCGGGCAUGGGGGGAUAACGUUCGGAAACGGACGCUACUACCGCAGACUUCCUACCGGAGAAAGCAGGGGACCUUCUGGCCUUGCGCUAUCAUAUGAGCCUAGGUCGGAUUAGCUAGUUGGUGAGGUAAUGGCUCACCAAGGCGACGAUCCGUAACUGGUCUGAGAGGAUGAUCAGACACACUGGAACUGAAACACGGUCCAGACUCCUACGGGAGGCAGCAGUGGGGAAUAUUGGACAAUGGGCGAAAGCCUGAUCCAGCCAUGCCGCGUGUGUGAAGAAGGUCUUCGGAUUGUAAAGCACUUUAAGUUGGGAGGAAGGGUUGUAGAUUAAUACUCUGCAAUUUUGACGUUACCGACAGAAUAAGCACCGGCUAACUCUGUGCCCGCAGCCGCGGUAAUACAUACGGAGCUAGCGUUAAUCGGAAUUACUGAGCGUAAAG